rnacentral:rRNA from 1 species
UAGUCUGGGAUACCACUUGGAAACAGGUGCUAAUACCGGAUAAGAAAGCGGAUCGCAUGAUCAGCUUUUAAAAGGCGGCGUAAGCUGUCGCUAUGGGAUGGCCCCGCGGUGCAUUAGCUAGUUGGUAAGGUAAAGGCUUACCAAGGCGAUGAUGCAUAGCCGAGUUGAGAGACUGAUCGGCCACAUUGGGACUGAGACACGGCCCAAACUCCUACGGGAGGCAGCAGAC